AUUGAACGCUGGCGGCAUGCCUUACACAUGCAAGUCGAACGGUAACAGGUCUUCGGAUGCUGACGAGUGGCGAACGGGUGAGUAAUACAUCGGAACGUGCCCAGACGUGGGGGAUAACGAGGCGAAAGCUUUGCUAAUACCGCAUACGAUCUAAGGAUGAAAGCAGGGGACCGCAAGGCCUUGCGCGUUUGGAGCGGCCGAUGGCCGAUUAGGUAGUUGGUGGGAUAAAAGCUUACCAAGCCGACGAUCUGUAGCUGGUCUGAGAGGACGACCAGCCACACUGGGACUGAGACACGGCCCAGACUCCUACGGGAGGCAGCAGUGGGGAAUUUUGGACAAUGGGCGAAAGCCUGAUCCAGCAAUGCCGCGUGCAGGAUGAAGGCCUUCGGGUUGUAAACUGCUUUUGUACGGAACGAAAAGGCUCUGGCUAAUACCUGGGGCACAUGACGGUACCGUAAGAAUAAGCACCGGCUAACUACGUG
rnacentral:rRNA from 1 species